rnacentral:rRNA from 1 species
UACAGAGGUCUCAAGCGUUUGUUCGGAUUCAUUGGGCGUAAAGGGUGCGUAGGCGGCGCGGUAAGUCGGGUGUGAAAUCUCGGAGCUUAACUCCGAAACUGCAUUCGAUACUGCCGUGCUUGAGGACUGGAGAGGAGACUGGAAUUUACGGUGUAGCGGUGAAAUGCGCAGAUAUCAGGAGGAACACCGGUGGCGAAGGCGGGUCUCUGGGCCGUAACUGACGCUGAGGAGCGAAAGCGUGGGGAGCGAACAGG